UACGUAGGGUGCAAGCGUUAAUCGGAAUUACUGGGCGUAAAGCGUGCGCAGGCGGUUCGCUAAGACAGAUGUGAAAUCCCCGGGCUCAACCUGGGAACUGCAUCUGUGACUGCAUCGCUGGAGUGUGGCAGAGGGGGGUGGAAUUCCAGCGUGUAGCAGUGAAAUGCGUAGAGAUGUGGAGGAACACCGAUGGCGAAGGCAGCCCCCUGGGCCAACACUGACGCUCAGGCACGAAAGCGUGGGGAGCAAACAGG
rnacentral:rRNA from 1 species